CAGGCUUAACACAUGCAAGUCGAGGGGCAGCAUGGUCUUAGCUUGCUAAGGCCGAUGGCGACCGGCGCACGGGUGAGUAACACGUAUCCAACCUGCCGUCUACUCUUGGACAGCCUUCUGAAAGGAAGAUUAAUACAAGAUGGCAUCAUGAGUCCACAUGUUCACAUGAUUAAAGGUAUUCCGGUAGACGAUGGGGAUGCGUUCCAUUAGAUAGUAGGCGGGGUAACGGCCCACCUAGUCUUCGAUGGAUAGGGGUUCUGAGAGGAAGGUCCCCCACAUUGGAACUGAGACACGGUCCAAACUCCUACGGGAGGCAGCAGUGAGGAAUAUUGGUCAAUGGGCGAGAGCCUGAACCAGCCAAGUAGCGUGAAGGAUGACUGCCCUAUGGGUUGUAAACUUCUUUUAUAAAGGAAUAAAGUCGGGUAUGCAUACCCGUUUGCAUGUACUUUAUGAAUAAGGAUCGGCUAACUCCGUGCCAGCAGCCGCGGUAAUACGGAGGAUCCGAGCGUUAUCCGGAUUUAUUGGGUUUAAAGGGAGCGUAGAUGGAUGUUUAAGUCAGUUGUGAAAGUUUGCGGCUCAACCGUAAAAUUGCAGUUGAUACUGGAUAUCUUGAGUGCAGUUGAGGCAGGCGGAAUUCGUGGUGUAGCGGUGAAAUGCUUAGAUAUCACGAAGAACUCCGAUUGCGAAGGCAGCCUGCUAAGCUGCAACUGACAUUGAGGCUCGAAAGUGUGGGUAUCAAACAGGAUUAGAUACCCUGGUAGUCCACACGGUAAACGAUGAAUACUCGCUGUUUGCGAUAUACAGCAAGCGGCCAAGCGAAAGCGUUAAGUAUUCCACCUGGGGAGUACGCCGGCAACGGUGAAACUCAAAGGAAUUGACGGGGGCCCGCACAAGCGGAGGAACAUGUGGUUUAAUUCGAUGAUACGCGAGGAACCUUACCCGGGCUUAAAUUGCAGAUGAAUUACGGUGAAAGCCGUAAGCCGCAAGGCAUCUGUGAAGGUGCUGCAUGGUUGUCGUCAGCUCGUGCCGUGAGGUGUCGGCUUAAGUGCCAUAACGAGCGCAACCCUUGUUGUCAGUUACUAACAGGUCAUGCUGAGGACUCUGACAAGACUGCCAUCGUAAGAUGUGAGGAAGGUGGGGAUGACGUCAAAUCAGCACGGCCCUUACGUCCGGGGCUACACACGUGUUACAAUGGGGGGUACAGAGGGCCGCUACCACGCGAGUGGAUGCCAAUCCCAAAAACCUCUCUCAGUUCGGACUGGAGUCUGCAACCCGACUCCACGAAGCUGGAUUCGCUAGUAAUCGCGCGUCAGCCACGGCGCGGUGAAUACGUUCCCGGGCCUUGUACACACCGCCCGUCAAGCCAUGGGAGCCGGGGGUACCUGAAGUGCGUAACCGCGAGGAGCGCCCUAGGGUAAAACUGGUGACUGGG
rnacentral:rRNA from 1 species